rnacentral:tRNA from 1 species
GCUUUCAUGGUGCAUCGGAAGCACAUUCGACUCGUAUUCAAGAGGUCCAUGUUCAAAUCCUGGUGAAGGUA